AGUAAAUAUUUUUAACAAUAUUUUCAAUCCGACCAGUCUGUGCGAAUGGUGUAUCCGGUUAGUUAUGGAUAUGCUUAUGAAUCUAAAAUGGAUUAACUGAAAUAACAGAAUGGUAAUACUCAGAAAUCUGGUAGGCGCGAUUGGAUUCGAACCAACGACCCCCACCA
rnacentral:antisense_RNA from 1 species